rnacentral:rRNA from 1 species
AACGAACGCUGGCGGCGCGUCUUAAACAUGCAAGUCGAACGGUAAGGAAGGAGCUUGCUCCUUUCUGAGAGUGGCGGACUGGUGAGUAACACGUGGGUGACAUACCUUUUAGAUGGGGAUAGCUAUUAGAAAUAGUAGGUAAUACCGAAUGUGACCGUAUCUGUUAGAGGGAUACGAGGAAAGGAGCUAAGGCUUCGCUAAAAGAAUGGCCCGCGGCCCAUUAUGCUCGUUGGUGAGGUAACGGCCCACCAAGGCGAUGAUGGGUAUCCGGCCUGAGAGGGUGGACGGACACAUUGGGACUGAGAUACGGCCCAGACUUCUACGGGAGGCAGCAGUUAAGAAUAUUCCGCAAUGGACGAAAGUCUGACGGAGCGACGCCGCGUGGAUGAAGAAUGCCGAAAGGUUGUAAAAUCCUUUUAAGCCUGAGGAAUAAGCACAGUAGGGAAUGAUUGUGUGGUGACUGUAGGGCUUGAAUAAGCACCGGCAAAUUACGUGCCAGCAGCCGCGGUAACACGUAAGGUGCGAGCGUUGUUCGGAAUUAUUGGGCGUAAAGGGCAUGUAGGCGGAUGAGCAAGCUUGGUGUGAAAUGCUACAGCUUAACUGUGGGACAGCAUUGAGAACUGCACAUCUUGAAUUACUGAAGGGUAACUAGAACUCCACGUGUAGGGGUGAAAUCUGUAGAUAUGUGGAAGAAUACCAAUGGCGAAGGCAAGUUACCGGCAGAUAAUUGACGCUGAGGUGCGAAAGUGCGGGGAGCGAACAGG